UAACACACAUAGAAACGGACCAAGCAUCAGACAAAAUCCCACGAGAAAAACAAAUAUAACAUCAAAACCAAAUACAUGAAUUUGGGAUAGACAAGUACCGUGACACGUCUUAUCGCAAUGUGAAUUUACACUCAAAAUUAAGAGAAAACAUACGACGCAACGUUAAAAUGUAACACACACAGAAACGAACUAUAAUAUAACAAUGGCCAUAUUCCUGACUUGGUACAGGACAUUUUUAAAGAAAAAAAUGGCGGGUUGAACCUGGUUUUGUGGCAUGCCAAACCUCCCCUUUCAUAGCCAUGUGAAAUAUAACAUUAAAAUGACAACUCAACACCACAGGACUACAAUAUAAAUAAAUUGGAGAAUACAAUUGACAAAGAAACACACGAACAACAGCCAACAAAAGGCAACAAGUUGAA
rnacentral:lncRNA from 1 species